ACUAACAAGUCUAAAGGAGCAGCGUUUGAAUCUUGGCCCACUGAUAACCUCUAAUUUGGGUGGACACAAUUUACUAAGAAGAAACUGAAACGCUCAGUUGGUCCCGUAGGAAGUGGCCGGUGGUCACACUUAAAUUCUGUACAGCAGAUCUGGAUAUUUUGGGGAUUGGUGAAGAGGGCCAGGAAAAGUAAAACCAUUUUACUUUUAAAUAUUGGAGCAUCAAAGAAAAAAACCAAAACAAUACUCUGCUGUAGUGUGUUCACAAGACAAUAAUGGACAAGCUGGAAAGAAACCUGAUUUUCACUGUUAGUGCAGUGCUGGUGUACAAUUCAUUGAAAUUUAGCAUCGGAGAGUGGCCAUCUCGGAGAUGUGACCGCACAACUGUGUCCACGCUUAUAGCCCUGCUCUAAAAGACGUAGAGUGAAACAUGGUAAAACAAAGCCCAGUCCCUGCUGUGACUCUCCAAUUCCACGGGCAGAGAGGACAGAACUGAAGUGGAUGUCAUCACAGCAGAGGCCCCUUUGUGUGACUAAAUUUGGAGAGAAUAUGAAUCCGAGCCAGUCUUUCCACGUGUGCUCCCAGCUCCCAGCUGAGAAGGCCAAGGGUUCUCUUCCGGUGCUCAGGGAAAGUGCCUGACUGACAGCACCGACAUCCAGCGCCCAGGAAACACGGCGACAC